rnacentral:rRNA from 1 species
GUAGGGAAUAUUGGGCAAUGGUCGGAAGACUGACCCAGCCAUGCCGCGUGCAGGAAGACGGCCCUCUGGGUUGUAAACUGCCUUUAUCUGGGAAGAAAAAGGCCAUGCGUGGCAAAUUGCCGGUACCAGAUGAGUAAGCACCGGCUAACUCCGUGCCAGCAGCCGCGGUAAUACGGAGGGUGCGAGCGUUGUCCGGAUUUAUUGGGUUUAAAGGGUGCGUAGGCGGCUGAUUAAGUCAGCGGUGAAAGACUUCGGCUUAACCGGAGCAGUGCCGUUGAUACUGGUUGGCUUGAGUGUCGGAGGGGUACAUGGAAUUGAUGGUGUAGCGGUGAAAUGCAUAGAUACCAUCAGGAACACCGAUAGCGAAGGCAUUGUACUGGCCGACAACUGACGCUGAUGCACGAAAGUGUGGGGAUCGAACAGGAUUAGAUACCCUUGUAGUCC